rnacentral:rRNA from 1 species
GACGAACGCUGGCGGCGUGCCUAAUACAUGCAAGUCGAGCGGACAGAAGGGAGCUUGCUCCCGGAUGUUAGCGGCGGACGGGUGAGUAACACGUGGGUAACCUGCCUGUAAGACUGGGAUAACUCCGGGAAACCGGAGCUAAUACCGGAUAGUUCCUUGAACCGCAUGGUUCAAGGAUGAAAGACGGUUUCGGCUGUCACUUACAGAUGGACCCGCGGCGCGUUAGCUAGUUGGUGGGGUAAUGGCUCACCAAGGCGACGAUGCGUAGCCGACCUGAGAGGGUGAUCGGCCACACUGGGACUGAGACACGGCCCAGACUCCUACGGGAGGCAGCAGUAGGGAAUCUUCCGCAAUGGACGAAAGUCUGACGGAGCAACGCCGCGUGAGUGAUGAAGGUUUUCGGAUCGUAAAGCUCUGUUGUUAGGGAAGAACAAGUGCGAGAGUAACUGCUCGCACCUUGACGGUACCUAACCAGAAAGCCACGGCUAACUACGUGCCAGCCGCCGCAGUAAAAC